rnacentral:rRNA from 1 species
UAGGGAAUCUUCGGCAAUGGACGGACGUCUGACCGAGCAACGCCGCGUGAGUGUAGAAGGUUUUCGGAUCGUAAAGCUCUGUUGUUAGAGAAGAACGUUGGUAGGAGUGGAAAAUCUACCAAGUGACGGUAAUUAACCAGAAAGGGACGGCUAACUACGUGCCAGCAGCCGCGGUAAUACGUAGGUCCCGAGCGUUGCCCGGAUUUAUUGGGCGUAAAGCGAGCGCAGGCGGUUCUUUAAGUCUGAAGUUAAAGGCAGUGGCUUAACCAUUGUACGCUUUGGAAACUGGAGGACUUGAGUGAAGAAGGGGAGAGUGGAAUUCCAUGUGGAGGGGUGAAAUGCGUAGAUAUAUGGAGGAACACCGGGGGCGAAAGCGGCUCUCUGGUCUGUAACUGGCGGUGAGGCUCGAAAGCGUGGGGAACAAACAGG